CCUACGGGAGGCUGCAGUAGGGAAUAUUGCGCAAUGGAGGAAACUCUGACGCAGCGACGCCGCGUGAACGAUGAAGGCCUUCGGGUCGUAAAGUUCUGUCCUUGGGGAAGAAGGGCAUUUUCGGAUGUCUUGACGGUACCCAAGAAGAAAGCCCCGGCUAACUACGUGCCAGCAGCCGCGGUAAUACGUAGGGGGCAAGCGUUGUCCGGAAUUACUGGGCGUAAAGGGUGCGCAGGCGGCCAUUUAAGUCAGGUGUGAAAUUCCACGGCUUAACCGUGGGGUUGCAUUUGAAACUGGGUGGCUUGAGUAUCGGAGAGGGUAGUGGAAUUCCCAGUGUAGCGGUGAAAUGCGUAGAUAUUGGGAGGAACACCAGUGGCGAAGGCGACUACCUGGACGAUCACUGACGCUGAGGCACGAAAGCUAGGGGAGCAAACAGGAUUAGAUACCCGGGUAGUC
rnacentral:rRNA from 1 species